CUCAGAUUGAACGUUGGCGGCAGGCCUAACACAUGCAAGUCGAGCGGUAACAGAAAGUAAGCUUGCUUACUUUGCUGACGAGCGGCGGACGGGUGAGUAAUGCCUAGGGAUCUGCCCAGUCGAGGGGGAUAACAGUUGGAAACGACUGCUAAUACCGCAUACGCCCUACGGGGGAAAGGAGGGGACCUUCGGGCCUUCCGCGAUUGGAUGAACCUAGGUGGGAUUAGCUAGUUGGUGAGGUAAUGGCUCACCAAGGCGACGAUCCCUAGCUGUUCUGAGAGGAUGAUCAGCCACACUGGGACUGAGACA
rnacentral:rRNA from 1 species